CCAAGUGUUGCAUACAGAUUGAUGUCCUGGUAACAGACGUGAACAAAUAGGUAUUUCUACUUAUUUACAUUUUCUUUCUAAUCAGCAGAAUAGUGAUAUCUAAUCCCAGGUGGAGGACUUGAAUAUUCUCUCCCAGACUUCACUUACUGAGUGUACUAUCUAUGGUAAAUGCUUAGAAGUUUUUGUUUAUGUCUCCAGGCAUAGGUAUUAAAUUUUGUUCAAAUCAAUACCCAACACCCUCUAUUGAGCAGUAGAAGUGCACUAGAAUGUUAACAAUUCUUUCCUUUUUCCCAAUUCACUGUACAACUGUUUUCUUCAUCACUUUCUAACAUUAAUGAUUUAGUGGCUGGAGAUUUAAUUGUUGGUUGGCUUGAAAGUUGAUCAAUAUAGAUUGAAGUCCUGAUAAGUGAGGGAUUAUGCAGAGAACACCUUGAGUCUAACUCUACGUCAUCUAAGAAGUUUAGGGCACCAUUUUCUCUCACUGUUCAACUUGUUGUGGAACCAUAAACUGACUUAAAAAACUGCUCUACAGUCCUUCUUUACCCUUCAGAGUUGCAUCCAGGACUGGUCUACUCAACGCUUUAGACAUUUCCACAACCUGGAUGGCAUGUACAUAUUCUUAUCCAGUCUAAGAAUAAAGAUAUCACUUGUUAGUUGAAGUUAAAUUUGUAACUUCAUGCAGGUUAUGCCCACUUCUGACCUUAGUUUACCUAAUCUUCUUAAGAUUCAACAGUCAAUUUAUUCAGUCGAUGACAUAAGUUUAGAAUACGCUAUGAAACAAAAGGCUAAUUUUUUGGAAGAUGCUGGUUCCUUUGAAGGAAAGCUUCAUUUUCAUAAUCUCCACUUUCCCCACUUUGAAGUGGACGGGGAAAGUCUGGGUAUCAUCUUGUAGGCUAUGCCCACUUCUGACCUUAGUUUACCUAAUCUUCUUAGAUUCAACAAUCAGUUUUAUUCAGUUGAUGACAUCAGUUUAGACUAUGGAACAAAAGGCUGAUUUUUUGGAAGAUGUUGGUUCCUGUGAAAGAGAGCUUCAUUUUCAUAAUCUUCACUUUCUCCAUUUUGAAGUGGACGGGGAAAGUCAGGGUAUCAUCAGAAAUAUAAAUAUGGAGGAUGAGCUUCGAGAUUUUUAAAAUAUUGAACCUCAGCAUCGGACAGAACUAGUAUUGGAUGAUGGCAAGGAGCUUUUGAGUUCAAUUGAAUUUGACUUAAUGAAAUAUCUCUCUGGUCAUCAUUUAGCAGUUCAGUGCCUUGAAGUUGAGUUGCACUGCUCAAAUUUUGCACUGCAAAUGGACUACUUAAGUGUUGUAGAACAAUCUCAUUGUGAAGAGUACCCAACAUUCCAUCAAGGCAAAGCAGAUGGUUAUAUAAUUGGAUCAAUGAACAUGCGUCUAUUUUAAGAAUUCCAAUUCUUUGAUAAGGAUCCAUCUUGUUCUUGUGUGGUCUUCUCAGAUGCAGCCAAAGAGAUUGAAGCAGAACCGUGUGAAUUCAUGUUUCAGAGAAACUAUGAUCUUUAGGAAUUUUAGUGAAUUGAUUGUUUGUCCAAACUUUCUCACAUGGAUGACUCUUUCAAAUCAUUGCCAGUACCUAUUAUUUCUGGCCAUGGAAGAAUUAGGUCUGCAUUUAUUGGUUGAGCAAAAAUUAACACGGGAAAUCACAGUCUUCAUCAACACCUGAUGGUCUAUAUCUAGAUUGGCAUUUUCUGGAAGAUGACAACUUUGGUAAAUAUUCUUCUUGUAGGAAAAUGCUGUGGGAGAUAGAUACUUACAAGAUAGAUGCUUCUAUGUACUUGAUUGAUAGUAGGAAACAGACCUAUGAUAUCAAUCUCCCUAAGGAUUGUUCUGACAAACCACUCAGAAGCCUUAAAGAAAAUGCUGAACUUACUUUCUGCUGGUUUUUUUUUAUAUGUUUCAUACUUCUGUUGAUGAGAAAGAUUCAGAUAGUUUUUAUAACCACAGAGAUAAAAAAGGUUAAACACGGACAUGUUGUCGAAAGCCGGCAUUGAGAAGGUUCCUUUGUUUGUGGAAUCCAUGUCUAGCGAUCUUGAUUUUUUCUUAAAUUUCAAUUGAUGUCACAGGAAAAGAAAGUAAACUUGCAGAUAAGUUUGUUGAUAUUGUUACAUGUCCAGGGCUUUCUGCAAAUGAUGAUUCUAUUGCUAGUAAUACUACCACCAUGGUUCAACAGCAGUGGAUUGUCGGGUUGCACCAGAGUCUAGAUCAAGCUAGUGAGAACCUGAUUUUACUCUGCCUUUCUAAAGAAGAACUCAUGGAUGGUCUUAAGAAAAAAGUGCAUCAAGUACUUAUUCAGCUCACAAUGACAAUAAUAUUAUAUUGUUGAUGACGUUGUGUGCAAUUAAACAAAUGCCUCUCUACCUCUGUUUCUAUGGAGUCAUGCCACUUACCUAUAUGUAGACAGGUUGUGCAGCAGCCUGCAGUGCUUAAAAUCCAGAUUAUGUUUUCUGUAUAACUUGAUCAAAGUUGCGGAUGAGAUGGCUGAGAAAGAUAUAUGUGAAAUUCAUCCCUCCCUUUCUGUCGUGCAUGAUAUUUUGCGGACAAAAUUAAGCAGCAGCUGUUUAAAAAUAUUAAUUGUUUGCUGACCAAGUUUUAUUGUGGCCAUUGAAGAGACUGUUGACAUCAUGAAGAUAUUAUAUAAUGAGCUACAUCAUUUAUCGUCGGAUGCAAGUCAACAGGGUCAUGAGUUCAUGGACACCAUACUAAAUAUUAUGCUUUCCUUGGAUUGUUGUGUGAUAUCCUAUGAAUUUUAGAGGGAUAAGCCAAUUUUCUAUCAGGAAUUAUGGAAUCAAAUGAACUCUAUGCUGCAGCAGCUAGCUUAGGAAUCGAUAUACAUCUCUUCUGUUCAUAUUCAUCUGAAGAUGACUGACAAAACUCUAUUAUCCUGCAUUGAGGAGGCACACGCAUUGAAUUUCUAGAAAUUUCCGUUGAGGAUAAAAUUUGGGCUCUAUAAGAAUCUCAGGUUUCUGACGAAACCAUUGCUUUGCUAAGUGAAAAGAGCUGAUAUGGAGUUUGGGAGGAUUCAAAAUCUGGAAUGACAGGCUGCUCCUCUUUAGUGUCUUCAGCUCCCGACUUAGAGACUGCUGAAUUCAGAAGUGCUUCUGAGGGGAAGAAACUAAAAUAUACUCACAAUCUUUAUGAUGCCAGAGAGCCUCCAAACGAUUUGUUUCAUAUGGAGUCAUUGAAAGCUAUUUUCAGGCGACGUACUCCAUCACCCAAAGCAUCAAUUUCAUGUGAUUCUUGGCUGUCAGGAAGUACAGAGAAAUUUGAUGAAUCUGGGUGCAUCAGAUCUCGAAAUACUAGGUGAGAUGGAGAAGGCUACAAUGGCUCAGAUUGGUGUAAAUUAUGAUCGAAGAGGGAGAUCAGGUACAUCUGCAAUGAUCAACUAUAGUAGACAAAAUACCAAGGCUUCUGAAAAUCUACAGGAAGAUUUGAUUGGUGAAGUUAUUGACAUCGACGAUACUCCAGCAUUUAGAAAUAUCGGUGACUGUUCACCAUUUCUGCUUGAUUGGGGGGGGAGCGGGUGGUGUUGGUUAGAUUAUGCAACGAGAAAAUCCAGAAUGAAUAAACCAUUUCCAGGAGUAAGCAAAGUUCCUAUUUAUACAGAUGCUGUUGAAAUUAAUUCUGCCUCAGAUGCCUGGGUUUCUAUUAGGGACAUUAGACAAAGUUCAAAGGAAGAAAUUAGGGAACAUUUUGAUACAGUUGAAAAAAAAAAAAAAUCAUUGAAGUGCCAGAAAAGGCACUUCCAGGAGGAUAUGUUACAGACAAAAUUCCUACAAAUUAUCUUUCCAAGAAAAGGGUCCUCAAAACUAUGGCAGAACACCACUUUCUAAUUCUCUUCUUCUCCACCCGACCUCAACCAGGAUUGUCCUGGACGAUUGAGUUUCUAAACAGAAUAAGGGAAAAGAGUAGAUUGCAACAACAUUCUCUUCCAUGUAACUUAUCCUCGCAUCAAAGGUUACUAGAAGGAAGAGUUCAUCUAUUCUUGAAUUGUACCAAGGAGGCAUCACCUCAGAGAAUAGUCGAAGGAAAGAGACGAAGGAGGCUUCACAACGUUCAAGUUCAUCAUUGAACAAUAAGAGUUUAGCGUCUUGCCAUCAAGCAUUGACUCCAAUCGAUAAGAGAGCAAUUCGGGUGCAUUAAUUGAACUUCUAUCUUAUACCGGAAAAUCUUCUCCUAUUGCAUCCUGAUCUUUAUUUGAUCAACUGCAGAUGCUAUCUUUUGCAACAAAUGGAAAUGGAGGGGGCAAAGUAUGCUGGUCUGGAUUGAUAAAAGUUUUCAUACUUUCAACAGAAGAUUUUAGCGUUGAUUACAAUAUGGCAAGAAGUUUGCAUGAUCAUGUAUUUGCUAAAAUUGUUCAAGAGAGUGGCAAGUUUUUAAGUUCUUAUAUUUGGUUAAUCUAUACCACUAACAAAAAGGGUGCUUCUUUAUGACCCAAGUAUUGUAGCAACAAGAAGUAACUCUCUGGCAUUCUCAAGCUUUUUUUCAUCUCAAAUUUCCCAGGGUAUAUAGAGAAUCAUCAAUGCAAACAGAUAUAUAUGGUAGGCGCCUAGUGUUCUCUGGACCAGUUUACGCCAAAAUUAUUUGAAGAUAUGUUUUGGAUCGUGAAUUUCUCGAGGAGAAAGGUAAUGGAAGAGUUUUGGUUGUUGACGGUGAAGGUAGUUGAGAUGUGCAAUAUUAGGCGGCAAACUUGCUGUACAAGCUCAGAACAAUGGAUGUGCCGGUACAGCAGUUGAUGACUGCAUAAGGGAUGUGGAUGAAAUCAAUGGUUGUUGUAUUGGAGUGAGAGCUCUGGCUUCACAUUCAGUGAAAGCUAAUAAGGGGAUUGGAGAAAAGCAUGAAUUCAAGAAUUGGAUGCUUUUAAGUGGGCCUUUUGGUCAAAAUAAUUGAAAUUCGGCUCGUCACUUUAUUUUUGUGGCUGCCUAAACCAAAAAAGAACAGCUCAUAUUUGAUGGAAUUUUUGGGUCUUGUAGCGAUGAUUGCUAUUAAAGAGGAAGAGGAUUCUUUCAUAUUGAUUCCCAAGAAAAAAAUAAUUAACAAAAAGAAAAGAUUGGAGAGGAUUACAUGUGAUCUUUCACCCAUCUAUAUA